GACGAACGCUGGCGGCGUGCCUAAUACAUGCAAGUAGAACGCUGAAGGAGGAGCUUGCUCUUCUGGAUGAGUUGCGAACGGGUGAGUAACGCGUAGGUAACCUGCCUGGUAGCGGGGGAUAACUAUUGGAAACGAUAGCUAAUACCGCAUAAGAGUAGAUGUUGCAUGACAUUUGCUUAAAAGGUGCAAUUGCAUCACUACCAGAUGGACCUGCGUUGUAUUAGCUAGUUGGUGGGGUAACGGCUCUCCAAGGCGACGAUACAUAGCCGACCUGGGAGGGUGAUCGGCCACACUGGGACUGAGACACGGCCCAGACUCCUACGGGAGGCAGCAGUAGGGAAUCUUCGGCAAUGGACGGAAGUCUGACCGAGCAACGCCGCGUGAGUGAAGAAGGUUUUCGGAUCGUAAAGCUCUGUUGUAAGAGAAGAACGAGUGUGAGAGUGGAAAGUUCACACUGUGACGGUAUCUUACCAGAAAGGGACGGCUAACUACGUG
rnacentral:rRNA from 1 species